rnacentral:rRNA from 1 species
ACGAGGCACUACGGUGCUGAAGUAACAAAUGCCCUGCUUCCAGGAAAAGCCUCUAAGCAUCAGGUAACAACGAAUCGUACCCCAAACCGACACAGGUGGUCAGGUAGAGAAUACCAAGGCGCUUGAGAGAACUCGGGUGAAGGAACUAGGCAAAAUGGUGCCGUAACUUCGGGAGAAGGCACGCUGAUGGUAGGUGAAGUGACUUGCUCAUGGAGCUGAAAUCAGUCGAAGAUACCAGCUGGCUGCAACUGUUUAUUAAAAACACAGCACUGUGCAAACACGAAAGUGGACGUAUACGGUGUGACGCCUGCCCGGUGCCGGAAGGUUAAUUGAUGGGGUUAUCCGUAAGGAGAAGCUCUUGAUCGAAGCCCCGGUAAACGGCGGCCGUAACUAUAACGGUCCUAAGGUAGCGAAAUUCCUUGUCGGGUAAGUUCCGACCUGCACGAAUGGCGUAAUGAUGGCCAGGCUGUCUCCACCCGAGACUCAGUGAAAUUGAACUCGCUGUGAAGAUGCAGUGUACCCGCGGCAAGACGGAAAGACCCCGUGAACCUUUACUAUAGCUUGACACUGAACAUUGAGCCUUGAUGUGUAGGAUAGGUGGGAGGCUUUGAAGCGUGGACGCCAGUCUGCGUGGAGCCAACCUUGAAAUACCACCCUUUAAUGUUUGAUGUUCUAACGUAGACCCGUGAUCCGGGUUGCGGACAGUGUCUGGUGGGUAGUUUGACUGGGGCGGUCUCCUCCCAAAGAGUAACGGAGGAGCACGAAGGUUAGCUAAUCCUGGUCGGACAUCAGGAGGUUAGUGCAAUGGCAUAAGCUAGCUUGACUGCGAGCGUGACGGCGCGAGCAGGUGCGAAAGCAGGUCAUAGUGAUCCGGUGGUUCUGAAUGGAAGGGCCAUCGCUCAACGGAUAAAAGGUACUCCGGGGAUAACAGGCUGAUACCGCCCAAGAGUUCAUAUCGACGGCGGUGUUUGGCACCUCGAUGUCGGCUCAUCACAUCCUGGGGCUGAAGUAGGUCCCAAGGGUAUGGCUGUUCGCCAUUUAAAGUGGUACGCGAGCUGGGUUUAGAACGUCGUGAGACAGUUCGGUCCCUAUCUGCCGUGGGCGCUGGAGAAUUGAGGGGGGCUGCUCCUAGUACGAGAGGACCGGAGUGGACGCAUCACUGGUGUUCGGGUUGUCAUGCCAAUGGCAUUGCCCGGUAGCUAAAUGCGGAAAAGAUAAGUGCUGAAAGCAUCUAAGCACGAAACUUGCCCCGAGAUGAGUUCUCCCUGACCCUUUAAGGGUCCUGAAGGAACGUUGAAGACGACGACGUUGAUAGGUCGGGUGUGUAAGCGUAGCGAUACGUUGAGCUAACCGAUACUAAUGAACCGUGAGGCUUAACC